UGUGGGAGGGGGCUUGCUCCCGAUAGCGGUGUGUCAGGUACAUGUGUAUUAACUGAACCACCGCUAUCGGGAGCAAGCCCCCUCCCACA
rnacentral:misc_RNA from 1 species